rnacentral:tRNA from 1 species
GUGGUUGUGGUUCAGUGGUAGAACGCUCACCUAGCUCGUGUGAGGCACUGGGUUCAAUCCUCAGCAGCACU